CUGCGAUGCCUACCAUGCAAGUCGCACGAGAAAGCCCGGUUCGCCGGGCGAGUAAAGUGGCGCACGGGUGAGUAACGCGUGGAUAAUCUACCUCAAUCUGGGGGAUAACCCAUCGAAAGGUGGGCUAAUACCGCAUAAUCCGGCUGAUUCUUGGAUUGGCCGGCAAAGGUGGCCUCUUGAUCAAAGCUACCGAGUUGAGAUGAGUCCGCGUCCCAUUAGCUUGUUGGUAGGGUAACGGCCUACCAAGGCGACGAUGGGUAGCUGGUCUGAGAGGACGAUCAGCCACACUGGAACUGGUACACGGUCCAGACUCCUACGGGAGGCAGCAGUGAGGAAUAUUGCGCAAUGGGGGAAACCCUGACGCAGCGAUGCCGCGUGGGUGAAGAAGGCCUUCGGGUCGUAAAGCCCUGUCAAGUGGGAAGAAUAGCUCUGGGGCUAAUAUCUCCAGGGUAUGACGGUACCACUGAAGGAAGCACCGGCUAACUCCGUGCCAGCAGCCGCGGUAAGACGGAGGGUGCAAGCGUUAUUCGGAUUUAUUGGGCGUAAAGAGCGUGUAGGCGGCCGGCCAAGCCAGAUGUGAAAGCCCAGGGCUUAACCCUGGAAGGGCAUUUGGAACUGGUUGGCUUGAGUUCGGGAGAGGGAAGUGGAAUUCCGGGUGUAGAGGUGAAAUUCGUAGAUAUCCGGAGGAACACCGGUGGCGAACGCGACUUCCUGGACCGAAACUGACGCUGAGACGCGAAAGCGUGGGGAGCAACAGAUUAGAUACCCUGGUAGUCCACGCUGUAAACGAUGGGCGCUAGGUGUGGGGGGGUUUUUAAUCCCUCCGUGCCGCAGCUAACGCAUU
rnacentral:rRNA from 1 species